rnacentral:rRNA from 1 species
CACCGCCUCUUGCCCCAAAUAUAAGAGGUCCAGCCUGCCCAGUGACAUAGUUUAACGGCCGCGGUACCCUAACCGUGCGAAGGUAGCAUAAUCACUUGUUCUUUAAAUAAGGACUCGUAUCAACGGCAUCACGAGGGCUGUACUGUCUCCUUUCUCCAAUCAGUGAAACUGAUCUCCCCGUGAAGAAGCGGGGAUUGACCUAUAAGACGAGAAGACCCCAUGGAGCUUUAAACCCAACACACACCUCUACUCACUCAAAUCAACAUAACCCAAGAGACUUGUGUGUUGGUUUUAGGUUGGGGGGACCGCGGAGUAAAAUCAAACCUCCAUGACAGACGGACUAACACCCUUAUCCAUGAACCACAAUUCUAAGAGCCAAUAAAUUGUUGUCUAAUGACCCAAUUACUUGAUCAACGAACCAAGUUACCCUGGGGAUAACAGCGCAAUCUACUUCAAGAGCCCCUAUCGACAAGUAGGUUUACGACCUCGAUGUUGGAUCAGGGUAUCCUAGUGGUGCAGCCGCUACUAAAGG